GACGAAUGCGGCAACGUUGCGAUAUUUCCUGCUUAAUAUUUUCAGAUAUGGGAAAAGCACUUAAGAUGAGCACACGUUUCAGGAACGUUAAAAUUAAGUUGGUGAGGAGGUCUAUCGUGGACCCUGCAAGUUUUCUUACCUCAGUCAAGGUCUUCCCCAGCCCAGCUACAAACAGACCCACUCUUGAGACGCUUCUAUUACAUCUCAACCUGCUGAACCUGAUGAUGCGACACCAAGCUGUUCUGAGAGCGCAUACAGUAAGGCAAAGAAGAGAGAGCUUCAUGCCUGGGAUGCAGUCAAGGAUGAGAUGCUUAAGAGUGUUUACUAUGAGCCAUCCUCCCUGGGGUUAUUCUUAUAUUUACCUGAAGCCCAUGGCACCCAUGCUGUGUACACAAAGGACAUGAAGAUCAUUGUCAGCACAGGACGGCUCUGCACCGUUACAGUCACCAUGUGUGCGUGUGAACCAGAAACCUGUACUCUGUUGAGGUAUGGGCUCUGACCAGACAGCCUUCUCCAUCCCUCUGCUAGAGCUUUCUGUUUCUCUAUCACUGGAGUGUCUGGUUUCUGUUGAGGGUUUUUGCAACACCCCAUAUCCCAUUUUAGGCAUCACCACUUCCGACAAAGAAGUUUGGUUGAUAUUUGCCCACAAUUAAAUGAUGGAACCAUAUGCCCAGCAUGUCCAAAGGCGGAUGGAGAUAUGAUUGUCACAUUGGAUGCAAACUUUGGCCUUGUGAGGAAUCAAAGCUCAGUACAAGUGUGGUUGAUCCAUUACACGGAACCCGCGUGUUUAGAGGAAUACCUGCUAUCACAUCUUG